AUUGAACGCUGGCGGCAGGCCUAACACAUGCAAGUCGAACGAGUGGCGGACGGGUGAGUAAUGCUUGGGAAUCUGGCUGAUGGAGGGGGAUAACUACUGGAAACUGUAGCUAAUACCGCAUACCAUCGGAUGUGCCCAGAUGGGAUUAGCUAGUAGGUGGGGUAAAGGCUUACCUAGCCGACGAUCUCUAGCUGGUCUGAGAGGAUGACCAGCCACACCGGAACUGAGACACGGCCCGGACUCCGACGGGAGGCAGCAGUGGGGAAUAUUGCGCAAUGGGCGCAAGCCUGAUGCAGCCAUGCCGCGUGUAUGAAGAAGGCCUUCGGGUUGUAAAGUACUUUCAGCGAGGAGGCGUUACCCACAGAAGAAGCACCGGCUAACUCCGUGCCAGCAGCCGCGGUAAUUC
rnacentral:rRNA from 1 species